rnacentral:tRNA from 1 species
AAAAAGAUAAGCUAAUUAAGCUAAUAGGUUCAUACCCUCUUUAUGAGAGUAAUACCCUCUCUCUUUUUA